AAACGAUAAAGAUAACUAAUCUUUGCUAUGUAAAAAUGAUUUCAUACUCCACAUUUAGGGGGUCCAAAAAUGUUGUCACAUGGGCACUGCAUAUUUAGGCCUAAUUAAACAUGCAUUUGGCGACGUUCAACUUCAAUUCACUGGUACUAUGAAGAAUAGCUGAGCCAUACUCACUGAUAGCCUAAUAUAUACUUGAAUACAGUUUUGGUGAAUUUACGAAGCAUUGUUAGAUACAGAUUCCCACGAUAUAGCCUACGUGUACGGUUCUCAUCCUCUCUCUCCAGCAAAAAAAGCUAGUGUUUGGUCUUCGGACUGUUGCUUGUAAAAUAGCUCAGUUUAGUCAUUGAUAUCCCCUACUUUAAUUAAUUUGCGCGAGAGAUUGCAAGCCAAGAAAUUUCGAAAAACAGCAUUGCGAUAGCCUAUAUUUCUGAUUACCGAUACACGAUUCUGUUGUGCUGCCUGGUGGCCGACAUACCUACCUAUGCCCCUCUAUCUCUCUUUCUUUGCUGUGAAAUGUUCUCGAAAUAGACUACGGAGAAUAGUUUCCUCCGUUGCAAAAAUACAGAAAUGUAGGAGUAGAUCGAAGCUUGACAUCCAGUAGUGGGAGUCGACGGACUCCACACCAUAUAGCAGUUUCCCGUGUGUAUCAAGAAUGGUCACCACCCAAAGGACAUCUAACCAAUUUGACAACUGUGGGAAGCAUUGGAGUCAACAUGGGCCUGCAUCCCUGUGGGACUCUUUUGGCACCUUGUAGAGCAUGCCCUGACAAAUUCAGGCUGUUCUGAGGGCAAAAGGAGGGCAUGAAACUCAAUAUUAGGAAGGUGUUCCUAAUGUGUGGUAUAUAUAAAACACAAGCAAAUCACAUUGACAACACCGGGCCUUUAAAGGGUACCUUAGUGAAGUGUUAUCACGCAUGGGAUGGCGGACUAACUAUGCCCAUGUCAAGGUAUUCCAAUAAACAGUUACACAAUGAUAAACGACACCAUGGUGUUGUCCCAAACCUUUAUUGCAGCCAUCGAACAGAACAUUUACAGCACGUGUCAAACUCAUUCCACGGAGGGCUGAGUGUCUGCGGGUUUUCGCUCCUCCCUGGGUGUCUAGGUCCUCAUUGAAAGAAAAAAAAAAAACUAAAACCUGCAGAUACUAGGUCCUGCAUGGAAUGAGUUCGACACCCCUGAUUUAUAGAAACUGUGUCAGCCGUCCAACUCUGCAUACAGAAUGCAUUUUCACAAACAUUUAAAAACCUGUUAGCCUAUACAGCUGUUUACCUCUAUGUAUAACAUGUUUUUGUGUGUAAACCCCUGUUCAUAUGUGAACUGCAAUAAAAAAUAAACACUGA